rnacentral:rRNA from 1 species
AUUGAACGCUGGCGGCAUGCUUUACACAUGCAAGUCGAGCGGCAGCGCGGGGGCAACCCUGGCGGCGAGCGGCGAACGGGUGAGGAACACAUCGGAACGUGCCCCGGAGUGGGGGAUAACGCCGCGAAAGCGGCGCUAAUACCGCAUAUGCUCUGAGGAGGAAGGCGGGGGACCGCAAGGCCUCGCGCUCUGGGAGCGGCCGAUGUCCGAUUAGCUAGUUGGUGGGGUAAGUGGCUUACCAAGGCGACGAUCGGUAGCUGGUCUGAGAGGAUGAUCAGCCACACUGGGACUGGGACACGGCCCAGACUCCUACGGGAGGCAGCAGUGGGGAAUUUUUGGACAAUGGGGGCGAACCCUGAUCCAGCCAUUCCGCGUGAGUGAAGAAGGCCUCGGUUGUAAGUACGUACUUCUA